AACGAACGCUGGCGGCAUGCCUAACACAUGCAAGUCGAACGAGACCUUCGGGUCUAGUGGCGCACGGGGGCGUAACGCGGGGGAACCUGCCCUUAGGAUCGGAAUAACUCCCCGAAAGGGGUGCUAAUACCGGAUAAUGUCUUCGGACCAAAGAUUUAUCGGCUUGGGAUGGGCUCGCGUUGGAUUAGCUAGUUGGUAGGGUAAAAGCCCACCAAGGCGACGAUCCAUAGCUGGUCUGAGAGGAUGCUCAGCCACACUUGGACUGAGACACGGCCCAGACUCCUACGGGAGGCAGCAGUGGGGAAUAUUGGGCGAUCGGCGAAAGCCUGACCCAGCAAUGCCGCGUGAGUGAUGAAGGCCUUAGGGUUGUAAAUCUCUUUUACCCGGGAUGAUAAUGACAGUACCGGGAGAAUAAGCUCCGGCUAACUCCGUG
rnacentral:rRNA from 1 species